UUCCUUGCUCUGACCUAGAAAGCUCUACAAGAUCUGGCCUCCACCUAUAUUUUCUCGUUCAUCUCAUAUUUAGUUGUUUUUAUUUGUACCUCAGCCAUUUUCGCCCUUUUCUUUUUUUUGAACAUGCCAAGCUUGUUUUUGCCCCAAAGAUUUUGUAUUUUCAGUUCUUUCCCCAAAUCCGCUCACAGCGCGUUCCUUCUCGCCAUUCUGGUUCGAACAGUGCUAUCGGAUAUGACUCUAGUCUAGCCCGUUACGCUGUGUUAUCUGUUAGGGGACAUGUCUCACCCUCUACAGUCACUGAAUGUUUAUUUCCUUCUUGAGCAUCUGUCUCUCUCAACUGGAGCUCAAGCUCCAUGAAAGCCGGGCCCUCUUCUGCCUUGUUCAAAUCCAAAUCCUCGGACAAAGCGUGAUCCACCCCUGUGGACUGCAGGCAGACACUGGUGCCGUCCAUACAUGACAACAGGAAGUGACUCUCGGACCGCUGGCUAGGAAGAGGGCAUUGGUUUUUAAAGAAGUUGCCCUUGUCUCAUUGUGAGACCUUGAAGAAACUGAGAUAACAGUGUGUGGGCAGGAAGUGGGAAACAUAUGUAUUAAUAUGCUCAGCUAAUCUCUGAAUCAAAGAGAAAGAAGAAACGACCAUGACAUUGACCUGAAAAGGCUGAGAGCAGUCAGGGCACCUGAGUAUCCAUGUUAAGAAAUGGAGGCUGUUGUUUUUUGAUGCUUUUUUUUUUUUUUUUCUUUUCCGAUCUGCCUCUCUCUUCUUUUUUAAAGGCUUGAUUUUUUUUUUUUCUUUCUUUCUAGGUUUGGGGGCGUUCACGUAGUGCUUCGCAGAUGUUUAUUUGGGAGUCUCCAUGUCUCCUUUUCUUCUUCUUCCUCAGAGCUCGUGUUGAUGCAUCUUCAUCUUUCAAUUGUGAAUAAAUGACUUCACUGCCAUAGGACAAGACUGGGCUCUGCUGCCCUGUCUCUCCCGUCUUUGGUAUAAACCUCACUCCAGCCUUUUCCGUCACCUCCACGCUGUCUCACGUUCUGACUUGGCAGCAUCUGGUACCCAGGAAUUUAUCUGAACACGUGUUAAUGUAUAUUACUCCGUGGAAACUUGCUGAUGUUCUGGAGGGACGUUCUUCAGGAAAACUCUUGUCUUACAGGUUUUGGUGGAAUGAGCAUCUUUGGCCAUAUUAUGGGAUUAUGGGAGUGCCUGUUAUCUUUUCUUUCUAACCUACUCUCCCUUACAUAUUCCAAAGCUGUCCCUUUGCAAGGCCUGGACCAGCAAGCCUCGGAGGUGAGCAAACUGAGGCUGGAGAGCUUAAAUGACUUGCCCAAGUCACAGGGCUGGUGCAGCGCUGGAACAAGAUGUCACUCCUCUGUCUACACUGCAAGCCCGUGAGAGUAACCAGAGAGCUCUUCGAAGGAUCCCCUGUGGAUUGUCUAUCACCUAAUGAUCUCUGAGCACCUAGCUGACGGCGGAUCCCCUCGAGAACCGUGGAGCGUCUGCGCAGCGCAGGCAGGGUCUGGAGGCAGAGGCUGGAGAGUCCACUGGGGGCCCGCAGCAUGCAGGCCAGGGUAUCUACGUGUGUUCAAGAUCUCUCCCCCGUACGGGUACUGGGCUCGGCCCUCCUCAUUUAUGAGACUAGAAUUAAUGGGGCAGUGAGGGUUCCCCCACCAUGAGCUGGGGGGUGUGUGCAGAAGAGGAAAUGUCCCCUGGGAAAGAACGCUGGGCAAGGGUCUCCCCACUCCCUGAACGGUAUCCUCUAAACAUCAGGCUCUGCUGAUCACUGAUUCUGGAAGAACCAUCCCCCCGCCCUCCCGCUGCCGCCUCCAGAGCUCUGCCAGGACCCCAGGUGCCAGGUCCUGAGCUGGGUGCAGGGGACGCGCCCUAACCAGGGGAAGGGCUUGGUUUUAAGGGCUGGAGAUGGGAUUUUCCUUUCCUUUCUAACCGCCCCUCCCCAAACACUAGAAUAAGGCCUUACCACUGGG